GACAGAGGGGGCAAGCGUUGCUCGGAAUUACUGGGCGUAAAGGGCGCGUAGGCGGGAUGGCAAGUCGGUCGUGAAAUCCCUCGGCUCAACUGAGGAUCGUCGAUCGAUACUGCCGUUCUUGAGGAUUGCAGAGGAGACUGGAAUUCCCGGUGUAGCGGUGAAAAUGUGUAGAGAUCGGGAGGAACACCGGUGGCGAAGGCGGGUCUCUGGGCAAUUCCUGACGCUGAGGCGCGAAAGCGUGGGGAGCAAACGGG
rnacentral:rRNA from 1 species